rnacentral:lncRNA from 1 species
UUUCCAGGUCUAGACUGCUUCCACCCACUAGGGGAAGCAGAGGCCAUCUCUGAGUGGAAGAACCCAAGGAAGGAAAAUCAUUUUCAAUGUUCUUAACACCCAUUGAACCAAAGCAAAUGGAAAUUUCUCAGGACAUUCAAAUUGUAUCCAUUCAAAUUAUAGAAACAGGCUACUCCAUACCAAUCACAGGAUGAUUUAUCACACAUUCACUCAAUAUGGAACAUUUACUAGUGACCAGUUUCCUGUAACAACAGAUUCAUUUGGAAACUGCACACUGCAAAAGGCAAUCUUGUGACUUUCUUCUAGUUUAUCAAAAAUACAAAUCAGUCUGGGAGUCAGGCACAAACAGUGGUACAAAAGCAUGAAGAGAAAUACCUUAUCUAAGAAUGUGCUCGUUUCAUAUUGCAGAACCCCUAUCUAGAUUCUGGUUUUUGGAAGCCUGCUGCUGGUUCUUUUGCUCAGAAAGGUUCCUUCACUACACCUCUCUCCCACUCCCACCUCCCCUUACUAAAAUUCACUGAACGGGAAACACUCAGUAUGGACCUACGUGGAACUAAAAGCCCCAAUUUAAUUGAAUCUCAUGUGUCAGCACAGUGGCUGCUGGUUUAAUCUGCUCAGCCAGCCUCGUGUAUCUAGGGACUUUUUGGAUCAGAAUUUGAGCCGGAAGCGCCCAACACUUCAUCUUUGGGAAUCCAAUAAAAUCUCUGACGUACAACUAGAAGUCCCAUGAACAAGAAUCUCCAGUUCCAGUUAAUGAGAUUCAAGGGCGGGAGCAGCAGGAAGAGCUGGGGCGGGGGCAGGAGACGGGCCACGAACCAGAUGUGUGCUUCUCUUUCCUCACUUGUAAGUGAGGGGGCUGAACUCGCGGAGCUCCGGGGUCCUGCCCAGCAGCCGCUCUAGGACUCCCUCCUCAAGUCCAUCUCUACACAGGCUCGUCAAGCUGGGUCAGACAAAACUUCCUCACCACUUUGUCUCAACAGUUUAAAGUGGUUGUAAAAUACUUCUAUGCUGCAGUCUGAGGUCUCCCUCUCUCCCCUACCCCUCAAAGACCAGGUUUCAUUUCACUGGUGCAGACCACCUGGCCAAACUGGUGGCUGCUGAGGUUUAAAAGUGAAUCACUGGCCUGGUUAAGAUGAUGGCCUUUGAGUAACCUAGACCAGGGCACAUGUGUCUGUUUUUCAUGAACAGUGUUAACCAAAUAGCAAUAGAAUUCUGUUAGUUCUUCUAUAGAUCUACUUUGCAACAUGAGAUUGUUCAAAAAUUACAUGAGAAAAUCACCCAUCACCACUAAGUUAAAGACUUGAGUAUCUGAGACCUCCAGAGCCUCGAACUCCUGCUACAGUCACUGAUCCACAGCACGUCCCUCUCGGCAACGGGCUCCAUGCGAGCGCAGCCCGGUCCGGCAGCAGAUCUGUGUACCGAGACGCUGAUUUUGAAAGAUCUGGCUCUAGUCAUCACUGUCACUGCCAGACUCACUCAACUGCAAGUCAUUUCCUACAAAACAAAAACCACAGAAUCACACCAAAAGUGCGCAAUUUAAAAAUGACUUCCCCACAAUUCUUUGUUUCACCGCCUUGGUUAUCGCCCUAUAGUAAAACAAGCCAAUUCAACUUAAUUAGGGAGGAAAACCGAUUUGGCUCAGUGACAAAACUGACGCAGUCAACGUUUUUAAAGAAAUGCUAUUCUUGAUAUCUGCAAAGCACAGCGAUGCUACGUACUAGGAUAGAACAGGGGGAAGCAGGCCAGACAGCUUUUAAAUGUGUUAAUAAAUAGCAAAAAAGUAUAAAUA